GUUGUAGGCGACUCAGCCGUGUUGAACCAUGAAAGGACCUCAGGAAUGAAACCCACACACAGCAAAGCAACAAAGUGAAAGAAGCGUGGAUUCCUAAUGCAGGAGGCACUGAACCAAUCAAUACCCACUGCCCUCCAGACCUCCACAUGAAAGAAAAAAACUGCUGUCCUGUGUAAGACACUUUUAUUUUGUGUUUCUAUUGUAUGAGGUCAAACCUAAUAACAGAUAUAUUACAC
rnacentral:lncRNA from 1 species